GCCGGUGAAGGAUGAAGGCCCUCUGGGUCGUAAACUUCUUUUAUUAGGGAAGAAACUCAAGAUGCGUCUUGAGCUGACGGUACUUAAUGAAUAAGGAUCGGCUAACUUCGUGCCAGCAGCCGCGGUAAGACGAAGGAUCCAAGCGUUGUCCGGAUUUACUGAGUUUAAAGGGUGCGUAGGCGGAAAAUUAAGUCAGUGGUGAAAGCCCGCAGCUCAACUGUGGAACUGCCAUUGAAACUGGUUUUCUUGAAUAUAGCUGAGGCAGAUGGAAUAUAACAUGUAGCGGUGAAAUGCUUAGAUAUGUUAUAGAACACCGAUUGCGAAGGCAGUCUGCUAAACUAUUAUUGACGCUGAGGCACGAAAGCGUGGGGAGCGAACAGGAUUAGAUACCCUGGUAGUCCACGCCCUAAACGUUGAUUACUCGCUGUUGGCGAUAUACUGUCAGUGGCUAAGCGAAAGCAUUAAGUAAUCCACCUGGGAAGUACGACCGCAAGGUUGAAACUCAAAGGAAUUGACGGGGGCCCGCACAAGCGGAGGAGCAUGUGGUUUAAUUCGAUGAUACGCGAGAAAACUUACCUGUGCUUAACUGUCAGGUGACCG
rnacentral:rRNA from 1 species